rnacentral:rRNA from 1 species
CAGCAGCCGCGGGAAUACGAAGGGUGCAAGCGUUAAUCGGAAUUACUGGGCGUAAAGCGUGCGUAGGCGGUGAGUUAAGUCUGCUGUGAAAUCCCCGGGCUCAACCUGGGAAUGGCAGUGGAUACUGGCUCGCUAGAGUGUGUCAGAGGAUGGUGGAAUUCCCGGUGUAGCGGUGAAAUGCGUAGAGAUCGGGAGGAACAUCAGUGGCGAAGGCGGCCAUCUGGGACAACACUGACGCUGAGGCACGAAAGCGUGGGGAGCAAACAGGAUUAGAUACCCGAGUAGUCCCUGUCUCUUAUAA